GAAUUGCACACAAAAGAGGGAGAAAAAAGUAACAAGACAGCAUUGCCAGUCCUAUACUUUGUCCAUGUGCUAAUAUCUGCUGAUGAAUUCGAAGAAAAAGGUAGAUUUGACUGUUAACAUGAAACUCUGAUUGAAACCAAGCCAGAAACAAAAACCAAGUUAUGACAUCUGUAUUAUUUUCAUUAUCAAUAUCUGUGUAAAUCAGUUAAGUACUUUAGUCCUUGAGCCAUUUAUAAUGUAGUAGUCUGUAUUAUUUAUCUUUAUUUUGUUGCUAUAAUAAAUACUUCUCUUAUCAUAUUUAGAUAUUGAAAAUAAUAAAUCUUAAGUGGUGCGUAUAAGCUGUAUAUGACUGAAGUAAAGACAAGCGAUUAUUCAUUUGAAAAUGAUCAUCAUGACUAAGAAUAAAGUACUUCUAGGCUGCUUGGAGAUGUGUACAGCAUGUGACUGUAUGUGUA
rnacentral:lncRNA from 1 species